rnacentral:rRNA from 1 species
GGGUACGAGAAGGCCGCUACACAGCGAUGUGAUGCCAAUCCCUAAAGCCCCUCUCAGUUCGGAUCGAAGUCUGCAACCCGACUUCGUGAAGCUGGAUUCGCUAGUAAUCGCGCAUCAGCCACGGCGCGGUGAAUACGUUCCCGGGCCUUGUACACACCGCCCGUCAAGCCAUGGGAGCCGGGGUACCUGAAGUACGUAACCGCAAGGAGCGUCCUAGGGUAAAACUGGUGACUGGGGCUAAGUCGUAACAAGGUACC